rnacentral:ncRNA from 1 species
GCGCGCGUCCACUCCACUCUUUGGGCCGCGUACAUUCAAAAAGGAGGUUCAACAGUUCCGCGAGGCUCGCGGUGCGGCAGUGUGGAGACCUGUCGUAAAGCGGCGCGCUCCUUUGCGGGCGGCCGUGAGGCGGAUCGGGUGGGCCGGUCCGUCAGAGCUGCAGCUAUG